rnacentral:tRNA from 1 species
GGGCGCAUAGCUCAGCGGUAGAGCACUGGUUUUACACACCAGCGGUCGGGGGUUCGAACCCCUCUGCGCCCA